rfam:Schistosoma rodhaini strain Burundi genome assembly, scaffold: SROB_scaffold0002155
AUCCAGGUGAGGAGUCCCGAAUAGGACGAAACGCGCAUCCUGGAU